GGAGAGGUGGCAGAGUGGUCGAAUGCACCGCACUCGAAAUGCGGCAUGGGUGUAAGCUCAUCGGGGGUUCGAAUCCCUCCCUCUCCGCCA
rnacentral:tRNA from 1 species